GGGGCUAUAGCUCAGCGGGGAGAGCACCUGCUUUGCAAGCAGGGGGUCGGCGGUUCGAAUCCGCCUAGCUCCACCA
rnacentral:tRNA from 1 species